GAAGAAAUUGACAAAAAAAAGUUAAUUUAUUUCUCUCAGUAAUGGGCCACAUAACAAAAAUGUAACGUGCAAAAAUCUGUAUCUCAGUUUACAUUAUAUUAAUUAAGAGGAGGCAUCUGUUUUGUUAAAACAUCUUGAACAGUAAUUUCUCUAUGUAAUUUUAUUCUUCAGUUGUGCAACAGACCCAGAAUUAACAUAUCAUGGUGAUUAAUAAAUGACUCAUUGGAAAAGAUUUCUAAAUAAGUGAUUGUGGCCCAAUUGAGGCACUGGACCACUAUUUGCCUGAAGGCAAUGGCGGAAAGCAUGAUAAACCUCGGAAUAACCAAUUUGAACUGAAUAACUCCCGCACACAAGUCUAGAGUUGCCGUUGCAAUGGUAUAGUCUGUAAAAUUGCGUUAAUAAGGGACCAUAUUCUCAAUAAUUUCAGAAGAUCCCAGAGGACAGCUGCAUUUAUAGGGGAGAGUUGUCAAUAUCGCACCAGUGCCUACACCGUAUUUUCUUAAUUAUGAGAAGUCAUAUGAUCUGAACUGCCAACUGGUGGAUCUGUUAGAUACAAAUUAUUAUUUCAGAGCUACACCAGUAAUCUGAUAUGUACGGGACCAAGGUACUGCCAGAUUACUGGGAAAAGUUGGAACAAAUUUGUUAAGUUUGCACAACACAGAAGUUUCAGAAUUGAUUAUCAUUUAUUUACAUGCAUAAAUGUGUACUGUGAACUUUUGUGCAUUCAAUAUUUAAUGUGUUAAUCAAUUUUAAUCAUCAUACCAGUAGCCAAAAAAACACUGGGCACAAGGCUUUCUCAGAUGAAAUAGUGAACAGAGUGUUAGAAAGCUUGAACCUACUACAGUCAGCAGGAUCCUGGAUUUUAUCAAAAUUAAAGUUACUCUAUUUCAUGACAACUUAUUGGCUGUCUUUUGUGGGUGUACAAGUUUAAACUUAACUGUAUCUUCAGUGUCGAUGAAAGUGGAUUUUCAUGUGUGUAAAAUCCUGCUUCAGUCAGUGAGCUAUAAGGGUCAAAAACAGGUUGGGACUGGCACAAGCAUCACUCAAUCAUGGAGGUUUCCUGCCAGUAUCUAUGCUUGCUCAGAUCCACAGUGAAUGAAAGAAGAUUUGUUCAUCAUCUGACCAAAAGUUUCAUUUCACAUUUACAGCCCUGCAUUCAGAAUCCCACAUGAUGAACACAAAAGUGCAAAUGCCAGAUGACGAGGAAUUUCUGUUACCAUACAGCUAAAAUUCGGCUGCACACCUAUAACACCAGGGGAUCUACUCUCAGAUGACAGAAGUUCAGCAAUCACCAUGGUGUCACAGUAUCAAUGGAAAAGUGUUGAUUAUGGAGGGGGUAUGGGGGACAACAAAUCCAACAACUCGUUAAGGAACACCAUGAGCUGUAUAUUAAAACUCACCCACUAGCAUCAAGAUCAGCCAUAUUUACACUCGUCUGUGUCACUGCAGUGUCAGUGCUCUUUGGUCUUGUGACAAACUGUAAACAUACAAACAUUCAUAUAAGAAAGCAUUAUUAUUGAUGCAAUCAUGCUGAUAUCCCAGUUGAGUAGUUCUCAUGCUCAUUAAUGCUCAACUCAUUUCAUUGACACAUAACUAGAAAAUAAAGAAGCAAAACACACAAAUCAUUUUAACAGAAGUGGCACACUUUUGACACAGCUGUCUCUCUAUAUGUUUUCAACAUCCCACAUGAAGUGAUAAGCUCCCACACCACAAGUUUAGGCGCCUCUCAUAGUUUGGUAUUACUGAUUUUUAAGAAAUUAAAAAGUUCAUACCUGCUGGCCAUCUCCUAUGGUACAACGUCCAGCAGACUUCCAGUUGAAGCAUGUCAACAGAUACAGUUAUUUUGACAUACACAUUGGAAAUUGGGGUAGCCAAAGAAAUGAAAAGAAGUUGGACAGCACUAAAAGUUUAUCGUAGAAAUGCAAACAAAAAAAGACGGUAUGGACACGUUUCAAGAAUGAAUGAAAAGUGAUCCAAAAGACCAACAGGAAAUUCCCAAGGAGACUGAGAUCAAGCUGGGGACAUCAAGCUAGGAAACAUUUUAUGCAAAAGGAAGCAAGAACAUUGAAAGAAACAACAAGGGGCUUUGGGAAGACAGAGAUUUCAGAUCCCCACAGACAUGCCUAGGAGAAACAUAAUAUUCACUGACAAAACUGCCUUACUUGAAAAAAUUAAGAACCAUCUGCCUAACACCAUUCAUCGCCAACUGACAUGGAUAACUGCAGUGCCCAAAUCCGUAACUGUAGGAGUUAUACAGCAGCAAGAGAAACUGGGAGAUCAAUGGACAUUAUGUCAUGGCCAGCAGUGAACUUCCCAAAAACUGAAGUGUGAAGGUGUUCAGGCUUCCAUUGCCCCACUUGUGUUUCUGUUUGGUUAUAAUAAUGGGGCACUGUCCCGAACGGUGAGGUUUGUUCUUUCCUGAGUUUUCGUCUGGAACGAUCAAGCUGGUCAAAGAUAACAGGUUGCAGUUUUGUUAUAUUCUUACUGUUUGCACAUGUUGCAGUUCAAUGAUGAAAAUUAUUUGUUAUUAUGAUUGUUAUGGUAAUUAUUGUGCUUUAUUUUUUUUAAUGUCACGUAUUGUUAUUAAAUAUUUAUUUUUGAGA